rnacentral:rRNA from 1 species
UACGUAGGGGGCUAGCGUUGUCCGGAAUCAUUGGGCGUAAAGAGCGUGUAGGCGGCUCGGUAAGUCCGCUGUGAAAGUCCAGGGCUCAACCCUGGAAUGCCGGUGGAAACUGUCGGGCUAGAGUCCGGAAGAGGCGAGUGGAAUUCCUGGUGUAGCGGUGAAAUGCGCAGAUAUCAGGAGGAACACCAGUGGCGAAGGCGACUUACUGGACACAUAUUGACGCUGAGGUGCGAAAGCGUGGGGAGCAAACAGG